UACGUAGGGUGCAAGCGUUGUCCGGAAUUAUUGGGCGUAAAGAGCUCGUAGGCGGUUUGUCGCGUCUGCUGUGAAAACCCGAGGCUCAACCUCGGGCCUGCAGUGGGUACGGGCAGACUAGAGUGCGGUAGGGGAGAUUGGAAUUCCUGGUGUAGCGGUGAAAUGCGCAGAUAUCAGGAGGAACACCGAUGGCGAAGGCAGGUCUCUGGGCAUUAACUGACGCUGAGGAGCGAAAGCAUGGGGGAGCGAACAGG
rnacentral:rRNA from 1 species